AGAGUUUGAUCCUGGCUCAGGAUGAACGCUGACAGAAUGCUUAACACAUGCAAGUCUACUUGAACUUCGGUUUGGGUGGCGGACGGGUGAGUAACGCGUAAAGAACUUGCCUCACAGUUAGGGACAACAUUUGGAAACGAAUGCUAAUACCUGAUAUUAUGAUUUUAGGGCAUCCUAAGAUUAUGAAAGCUAUAUGCGCUGUGAGAGAGCUUUGCGUCCCAUUAGCUAGUUGGAGAGGUAACGGCUCACCAAGGCGAUGAUGGGUAGCCGGCCUGAGAGGGUGAACGGCCACAAGGGGACUGAGACACGGCCCUUACUCCUACGGGAGGCAGCAGUGGGGAAUAUUGGACAAUGGACCAAGAGUCUGAUCCAGCAAUUCUGUGUGCACGAUGAAGUUUUUCGGAAUGUAAAGUGCUUUCAGUUGGGAAGAAAAAAAUGACGGUACCAACAGAAGAAGUGACGGCUAAAUACGUGCCAGCAGCCGCGGUAAUACGUAUGUCACAAGCGUUAUCCGGAUUUAUUGGGCGUAAAGCGCGUCUAGGUGGUUAUGUAAGUCUGAUGUGAAAAUGCAGGGCUCAACUCUGUAUUGCGUUGGAAACUGCAUGACUAGAGUACUGGAGAGGUAAGCGGAACUACAAGUGUAGAGGUGAAAUUCGUAGAUAUUUGUAGGAAUGCCGAUGGGGAAGCCAGCUUACUGGACAGAUACUGACGCUGAAGCGCGAAAGCGUGGGUAGCAAACAGGAUUAGAUACCCUGGUAGUCCACGCCGUAAACGAUGAGUGCUAAG
rnacentral:rRNA from 1 species